CGAACGGGUGAGUAACGCGUGAGGAACCUGCCUCAAAGAGGGGGACAACAGUUGGAAACGGCUGCUAAUACCGCAUAAGCCCACGGCUCGGCAUCGAGCAGAGGGAAAAGGAGCAAUCCGCUUUGAGAUGGCCUCGCGUCCGAUUAGCUAGUUGGUGGGGUAACGGCCUACCAAGGCGACGAUCAGUAGCCGGCCUGAGAGGGUGAACGGCCACAUUGGGACUGAGACACGGCCCAA
rnacentral:rRNA from 1 species